UACGUAGGCAGCGAGCGUUGUUCGGAUUUACUGGGCGUAAAGCGUGCGUAGGCGGUUGUCUAAGUUUGGUGUGAAAUCUCCUGGCUUAACUGGGAGGGUGCGCCGAAAACUGGGUGACUGGAGUGUCGGAGAGGUAAGCGGAAUUCCUGGUGUAGCGGUGAAAUGCGUAGAGAUCAGGAGGAACACCUGUGGUGUAGACAGCUUACUGGACGAUAACUGACGCUGAGGCACGAAAGCGUGGGUAGCAAACAGG
rnacentral:rRNA from 1 species